rnacentral:lncRNA from 1 species
AUGCCUCCUUCCCUGGCAGCAGCAGGGUCUUUUGGAAGUGCCAACCUGGCCCAGCACCCUCCUGUCCUCAGGGCCUGGCCACAGCAGGCAUUCAGAAGACAUUGUGGCCCCAACCCCACACACACCGGAUCAGUUCUAGGGUUGGGACAGGGCCCGUCAGCCAAGCAGGUGGGUCCCGGAGGAGCUGGGAGACUUGGAGAGGGGGCUGCGCUACCCAGUGGAGCUGAGUCGCUCUAAUGAAGUGGACUAGCUGCAGGCCACAUUGAUUUCACGUCUCUGUGGCCACGUCCCAGCUGGUAAAUGUCACUGGAGAGUGCAGCCGUGGCACCUGGCAUGGGUCCAGUAGUGAGUGGGAGCUGGCAGGUUGCCAGAGGGGCCGGGGAUGCCCAUGAAAUGCUGAUACCAGUCCAGGGUCUCCAGCGCCUCCAGACGCUCCCGCCAAUCCCUGAAGAGGGGCUGUACCCAGUCGGCUGAAGCUGUCACCCCCCCGGGGAUAUCUGCAACCACCAGCCCCUCUCCUGCUAUCAACAUACAAUGGACUGACGCCAGUUGCUGGGAGGGUUGCCCCUUUCUUUUUGUGGGGGCAGUUUAGGGUGGUCUAGAGAUGGGCCCAGCAGCCCAGGGCCCAGGAGUCAAGGCGCAGCCGUGUGAGGACCCCUCCUGGCCCACCGCCCUACCAACCCUGAGCUGUCUCCUUUGAUAACUGGCUCAGGACAAGCUAAGAGUAAGCAGCCAUAACCACACAGUGGCAGGCCUGGUUUAAUAAACUCUCACUGCAGCCAGUACUGGCUCAGAACUGGUCCCUGUGAUCUCAUUCAACCCCACGGCAACCCUGUUGUGGAUUCUGAAUGCACUCCAUUGUUCAGGAGGGGAACGUGAGGCUGAGAGGCCAAGUCCUCAACUCUGAGCAGCACUGGGGGGCCCGGACACCCCCAUCCCGAGUUCAUCCACGGCCCUCAUGGGACCCCUUCUCUGCUCCAGCUCCCCACCCCCAUCUGCCCUGCACCUUUCUCCCCUUCGCCAUC